rnacentral:misc_RNA from 1 species
UUAUUCCCUAAUCACUUGUGUCUGCUGAUCUCUCUUGCUCAAAGUUGGCCUGUUGCUCGUGCGUGUUUCCCCGUCUCAAUUUUUGCGCUCCGUUGUAGGGGGAGAGGGGUCGCCAAGCUGGUCGCCAGAGAGCGGCUCUGUGAGUGUGUGCGCAUCGUUGCGUGUUGAUGGGUGUCCUCUCAUUGUCGCCGACACGAGAGGCCACGCAUACCUGCGGCAGCACCCCUAUUGUUUCCCUUCGACGUUUCACGCGCGUCCUUCCCGCCCUCGAGCACCGUCUUGACAGUUCAGGGUGGCUGCGGCGUCACACGUGUUCCCGCCUCCCGCGCGCUCAUGCUCGCCCCCUCCCCUUCAUCCCCCUCCCCACGGCUAGCCUGUCAGGCCGCUGCAGGAUGGCCAAGUACUUUGUGCCGGACACCACAUUUGGCAUGGACGCCGAAUGCGCGGUGUGCUGUUGCCUGUGGACAGACCCGGUGGAGAUCAGCGAGUGCCAACAUAUAUUCUGCCGUGGCUGCGUAGAGGGGCUCGAGACGUGCCCCGUGUGCUGUGGGUCUGUCACGCGUCUCAACACACCCGGCAAGUUCAUCCUACGACUUCUACAGCGCACGCAGGGGUCAUGUAGCGCGUGUCUGUGGAAGGGCACGUACAGCGACUUUAAAGAGAAGCAUCUCAAAUGCCUCGAAGCUGGCGAGGUGCAGUCCAGCGACGAGGACAAGAUCCCGACGACGACGGAGUGUGUGGCAAUGCAGGAGUACUACCUCGAAGACAGCAACACCAGACCUGAAGGAUCGGCGCCUUCGCCCGCCGCCGUGGACUCCCUCCUCGUGCAUCCCGCGGCGGUAGUCAACACCGGCAGCCCUCAUGAGCAGCGUUUUGCUGACGUCACGAACAACAGCGCUUCCACCGCCGACGCUCACCUCACGUACGAGCAGCGUGCACAGUGGCGGCAGUCGCUGACUUCAACGGCGCAGGACUAUGGAAUGUUGGAGAGAGAGUACCGCGAGCUGAUUGAGCGUUUUCCCAACUUUGCCGUCCUCGUCCCCGAUAGAGGGAUGGCGCCGGAGCUGCGCUGGCGCGGCGCGUGCCGACUCCUGCGCUUCUUAAACUACCCCAGCCACCCAGACGACGUGAAAAACCUCUUCGAGAUGGCAGGCCGAGACGCCCUGACGGAGUCGGUGCCGUUUCAUGUACUGUGUCUGUGGCUCAUGUUGAACCGACGAAACCCAGCGCAGUGGUACCACAUGACGGCAGAGCCGUACGAGCAGCUCCUGAAGGUAGCACAACUGCUGGAUGUGGAGGCGACCGGGCUCUUUCAGCUGGAUCAGUGCCGCAUCCUCGCUGAGCAGUACUUUGAGCGCGACGUGUGCGACGCUGAGUGGUUGUGUAUCGAGCGCCUGCUGCGCAGCAAGGACACAGAAAUUCGACAAUCCUUCCUCAGUAGUGCCAAUCGUCGGCGCGUCAACCUCGACGAAAGCUUCGUCCUCUCCUCCGCCAAGCUGCCCUUGCAUGACGUGCUGUGUGCCUUCACCCGUCACGUAGACGCGCUGAGGAAGGAGCAGCAGCAGCAGUCGGAGGCGCAGCGGAUGCAGGCGGACUACGUGCGUCGCAUCAAGCGCAUCGUAGGCUUCUACGAGCCGAGCGCGGUGAGCCAGCUGGAUGUCACGCUGCAGAAGUUCACUGGGGAAGAGGAAAGCCUCCUCAUGACGCUGACGGCAAUGUACGGCCCAGAACCCCCCUGAUGAGCCGCCAUUGUGGAGCAAGACGGUGCAGGGCAGGAGGGAGUGGGCGCGCCCGCUGUAAGGCAGAGAAUCCGUGGAGCGCGUCACCAUGGGCGAAGCAGACUAAAGUUGCGUGCAGUGUGCUGCUGACAGUGGAGGUAAGUGUAUGGGCGGUGUGGGCCAAGCAAGUUUCGUAGAGGCGCACGUCACCAGAUGCGAAUACACAGACGCGCGCGCGCACGCACACAUGUCUUUAGGUGUAUCCAUGUAUAUGUGUGUGUACGUUGGCGUGCUCGCCGACGGAUUCUGAAGCGCGCGAGCAAGGGCAGCGCAGCGAGGGGGCGUUGAGAAAAACGGAUGUGUGCCAUGUGGUGGAGGCGCAUGCGCUGAGGGAAAGCGAAUGAAAGUCAGUGCGGAUGUGAGCACAGCAACGACCAGCUGCGCCUCCCUAGAAGGGGGUAUGAGCUCUAUAUAGUUGCUGUUUUCUUUGAUCGGGUAUUCGUAUAUAUAUAUAUAUUUCGCGGUCGGCGGCGGGCCUCAGACAGGGAACGCUGACGGCAAAGUAUCGCUCGCACUCUUCCUCUUACCCGCUUGCUGGCUGAGGAGCAGGCAACAAGCGGGUGUGCGCCACGCCCUGCGGACUGGCUCUUAUGUGGUUGUCGCCUUACCUUUGUAAGCAUUCCUCGGGGCAUAACAGUGGGGCGAGAUCGGGAGGCCGUCGGCGAUCGGUUCUUCUUUUCGUUGCCCAGUGGAAGCGGUGUCUUUGCUCGACAUGUGAGUGUGGCUCCUUCUUUGCAUGUUCUCUGAGAAGGGGCCCCUUCUCCCUCUCUUGCUGUUAGCACUGUCCGCGCCUUCAGAGUAAGUCGCGCCCAUCCGACCCCACCCCCGCCCUUCAUGUUCCCUGCCACUGAGACCGAGAGCUGUAAGGGUAGCGGCCCCGCACUCUUGCCAGCACUCAGCACAGGCAUAUAUACACCCAUCUAUGCUCGUGUGCGGAGGACGCGCUCUAUUCCUGUCGGUGCGGCUCUCAGUAUGUAGGCGAGGGACGGCUGCACGCACGCCGGAAGUCGGAUCGAUGGAGGCAAUAUGUGCUGACACGCUCACCGCCUCAGUGCGACGUUCUUGUUUGUUCCAGUUCACCCCCUUCUCUCUCACUUUCUCGCUCGUUUUUUCCCACCAACGGCAGUCGUACAUCUGUGCGGGGGGGGGGGGAGGGGCCCUCGUUGUGUGACGGAGCAGGGGGUCAGUGAGUAACUGUGCAACAGACGAUUUCCUCGUCCCGUUUUUCUUUGUUUGGUCGGCGCUUCUUUUUGCCCUCUUCUUUGUGGGCCCUGUCCACUCCAACCGCACGAGCACAUGCCCCCUGUAAUUCUUUUGCACUUUUUCUUUUCCAUUGUUCAGGCGAUGAUAGCGUGUGUCUCUCUUCCUCUCCCCUUGUGUGUCUGUGAUUGCGUGUGUGUGUGUCUCCGGGUAUCGGAGUGUAGAUGCGUGCGUCAGGGGGAGGAGGUGAUGAUCUGCACGAGAACAGCGACACUGAGAGACACACAGCUCAUCACUUGUUUUCGUGUUUCCCUCGCUGCCGCUGAUGCUGCUGCCGAUGGGUACUGCUGCCUUCUUGCGCAGGGCAACUACGGUCUCUUCGUAUUUUUAUGGUUUGUCAUCGAGGAGCCCUGUCUCACCCGCUUGCCACAGCCCUCUCGUUCGCCUCGCCCCUUUGUGCACUCCCACCCGGCCCCUGUCGGUUUAAUCCGUAUCAGGUCUUUUCUUCGGUUUCUCCCUCUGCCUUCACUGCUCUUGCGCCUCUACACACACAUCCAAACAAGCGCAGACGCGUGCCCCUCAUCUUUACAGAAUCAGGCCAUGUCGCCUGAAGGCCAAGAGGCUGCAUGAGAAAGGGAGGAGAAUGUGCUUGUGCAUUUCUCUGUGUGCGUUCGUUUUUUUUUUGUUGGGUACUUGCUUUCGGUCAUGUUUGCCUGUCUGUGUCUACUCCAUCAUGUGUGUGUUCUCUCUCUCUCCCCAGACACACAGGUGCGAGUGUGUUGCUGCGUUGUCUGCACCGCCGCGCCCGCUUGCAGACGCGCACUCGCGCGCUCUCUUUGGCUGUUUCGCUGUCGUCUUCUUCACUUGCUGACGGUGUGUUCUGUUAUUAUGCGCGUCUGUGUGUGGUUGGUGGGUGGGUUUGUUCACGCUCUUCCCCCCCCCUCUCCCUCUCGCCCUACUUCUCUGCCGCCCAUGACGUCGUCUUUACCCCAUUUUUUUUACGUCCGCCUGUGUUAUUCUUCGCUCCUGUCUCUCCUCGCUUCGUUUUUCAUCGCUUGCUUACUCUGCUCUCUUCCCGUCGUCCAUGUGGGUGUGGAGGGCCAGGCGCUGGUCUCGCUGGCACCUCUUUGCUUGACCUUCCCCAGGUGGUUUGGGCAUCGCGCCCGCACCCCUCGUCCGCAAUUUCGUGUUCUUGCUGCUUUCAUCUUGCGAUCUCUUGUCUGGUGGACACCCGAUGUAUCUGAGCAUGGCAAUCCACGCAUGCUCCACAGCGAAGCUUCACAUCCAAAUCUACGCCAUCACCGAUCCGUAAACACAUUAGAAAAAAAAAAGACGGAGAUAAACCUCGCGAGCAAGCGUCAGAAGGAAGCACCUUCCUGUUCGAUGCAUGGGCCGGCCUAGCGACGAAGAC